UACGUAGGGACCGAGCGUUGUCCGGAAUCAUUGGGCGUAAAGCGCACGUAGGCGGUCUGUUAUGUCGGAUGUGAAAGCCCUUGGCUUAACUGAGGAAGUGCAUCCGAAACUGGCAGGCUAGAGUACUAAAGAGGGUCGCGGAAUUCCCGGUGUAGAGGUGAAAUUCGUAGAUAUCGGGAGGAACACCGGUGGCGAAGGCGGCGACCUGAGUAGAUACUGACGCUGAGGUGCGAAAGCGUAAGGAGCAAACAGG
rnacentral:rRNA from 1 species